rnacentral:rRNA from 1 species
GAUGAACGCUGGCGGCGUGCCUAAUACAUGCAAGUCGAGCGAACGGACGAGAAGCUUGCUCCUCUGCUGUUAGCGGCGGACGGGCGAGUAACACGUGGAUCACCUACCUAUAUGACUGGGAUAACUUCGGGAAACCGGAUCUACUACCGGCUAAUAUUUUGAACCGCAUGGUUCAAAAGUGAAUGACGGUCUUGCUGUCACUUAUAGAUGGAUCCGCGCUGCAUUGGUUAGUUGGUAAGGUAACGGCCUCCAAGGCAACGGUGCGUAGCCGGCCUGGGAGGGGGGAUAGCCCCAACUGAACCGGGACACGGUCCCGACCCCUAAGGGAGGGAAGAGUUGGGAAUAUUGGCCAAUGGGGGGAAACCUGAACCGGCCAUACCGCGGGGGGGGAGAAGGCCUUCGGGUUGGAAAAACCUUUUUUUGGGGAAGAAAAGUAGCAGGAUAAAACCGCGCUGUUCUGAAGGUACCCAAAGAAGAAGCCCCGGCUAACUUCGUG